rnacentral:rRNA from 1 species
GGGCUCACACAAGCGGUGGAGGAUGUGGCUUAAUUCGAGGCUACGCGAAGAACCUUAUCCUAGAUUUGACAUGCUUGAGAAUUCCUUCGAAAGAAGGAAGUGCCCCUCGGGGAGCUUUUGCACAGGUGCUGCAUGGCUGUCGUCAGCUCGUGUCGUGAGAUGUCGGGUUAAGUCCCUUAACGAGCGAAACCCUUAUCUCUAGUUGCCAGCGGGUAAUGCCGGGGACUCUAGAGAGACUGCCGGUGAUAAGCCGGAGGAAGGUGGGGACGACGUCAAGUCCUCAUGGCCCUUACGGGAUGGGCUACACACGUGCUACAAUGGCAGUGACAAUGGGUUAAUCCCCAAAAGCUGUCUCAGUUCGGAUUGAGGUCUGAAACUCGACCUCAUGAAGUCGGAAUCGCUAGUAAUCGUAGAUC